CCAAUUCAACCCGAUCUCGAGAAACCCGAACAAAUAGCCACCGAGACGAAAUAAGAUGGGAACUUCAACCACACCUCGCUAGUUUGAUCGGUACCCUCUCAACGGGGGGAGAAUGUUACGCCAUGCGGCUUACCAUAGGUCAUAUUCUUAACUAUCGAUCGCGGCACUAUAAUGUCGCAGACGGACCGUCGCGUCUGCCCGGCAAACAAACAUUGUAGUGGCAAGCGCAUGGUUCAUUAAGCAGGGCGACUUCCAGAAACGUCGACUCGUGGUCGUUAUUUUACCUCGCGUAAAAGAAUGUGGCGUGAUCCGAACGUAGUGGGGGUCGCCUUCCAGAAAAAACGAAAAAAAUCGAAAGGCGUUCAGAACUUUUCGAGAAGUCGAACCGUCAACACAUGUGGCGCUUGGCCAUGGAUCGCUGCAUUAGGUUUUCGUAAUCCCCGAAACCCAGACAAACCACUAUGGAAGUGCGGAGGUUCCCUGAUAUCGGCUAGGCAUGUUUUGACCGCAGCACAUUGUGCACAUAUGGAUGGAAUAGAAAACAUACACAAUCAUAAUAUUGCCAUUCUUAGAUUGGUGGAGGAGGUGCCAUUUUCGAGGUACGUAUAUCCCAUUUGUACGAAAGAGCAACUUCGUCGGCUAUAACCCCCUUGUUGCUGGAUGGGGAGCGUUAAGAUAUAGCAAGUGAUAUCAAUUUUAUAAUAAAAUUAAACAGUUCCAGUCUUAAAUAUCUUUCUCAUUUUCUUCGUAGGACGACCACGACCUAAUGCAUUAAUGGAAGUACAAAUGCCAGUGAUUAAGAACGCCGAAUGCAAAAUAGCUUAUUCCAAAUUUCCUAAUGCACCUGAUAUCACUGAUGGUAUAAUAUGCGCCGAACAUGCUCAGGGUGGAGAGGAUUCUUGUACGGUAAUUAAGUUACAGAGUUACUACAAACUAUACGGUAUCUGAAGACACGUCAAUUCGAAUUAACAUCAAAUCGACGUCUUAAACAUUAAAAAUAAUAGAUAAACACAAUUUAAUAGUUUUGCCCACUUCUCACACCUCGUUAUGGUAUUUAAUCUAAUUUCCUUCUAAUCUUAGUUUUGCUCAAAAUACAUAUAACAUGUACGUUAUAAAUUGGAGUAUUUCAAUACACAAAUCAAUAGAAGAUUAUUACUGUAUAUAAGUAUAAUUUCAAUGCAAUUCGAUCGAUAUAUUUCAGUAUCUUUGAUUAAAAAUUUAACGAUCCUUUCAGGCUGACCGUGGCGGACCACUGCUGAUACAACAUGAAUUAACCUUGUAUUUAAUAGGUAUUGUGUCUUAUGCUUAUAAGUGUGGCACAGCUGGGUAUCCCAGCGUUUACACUAGGGUCACAUCGUACCUUGACUUCAUUCUCCAAGCGAUGCAAUAAUAUGAUAUUACUGUUCCAUAAAUAUCAUUGUGUAAAAAACGUAAAGUUGGAUUUUCUUAUUGUGGAGAUAAGAAACAGCUCAAAUUUACAUUGUUUUGUACGUUACAAAUUAUAGGCUUAAAAUGUACGAAAUGUAACUUUGAAACGACACUAAUUUUUUACGCACGAUAAACCUCCACGACUUAGAUUAUAGAUUCCUAUACGACUCUCAGUAAAAAUUUAUCCGCACUCCAGAUAGUUAAAACUUCUGUCGACCGUAUUGAUCCAUCUGCACUCUUCGUAUGACGUCAAUAUCUGUUCAGUGCUGCUGCGCAGGUUUCUUUGUGUUACGUCAAUUCGUUUGUGACCGUUGCGCGAGUAAUGGCGCUUUGCAAUGGUGAUUUGCAGGAAAACAGUGCAGGAUGCUGUGAUUCGUUUCUUGUGGUCGGAGGUUAUGUUUGAUGCCUAUAUUUAUCAAAGAUUUAAUGCACAUUAUGGAGAAAGUGUUUUGUCACGAAGUGUGUUUGAAUGGGCACAAAAGUUCAAAGAAGAUCGCACAAGUGUUAUGAAAAAACAGCUGGACGCCCGUCCACAUCCACGAUGACAACAUUGAACGUGCUCAUGAACUUAUGCUCUAUGGAAUAGACGAGUGACACUGGAUAAUGUGGCAAAUCAUUUGCAAAUCAGCCACGGCUCUGCUUAUGCAAUAGUGCACGACAGAUUUGGAUUUUAAAAAGUUUGUGCGAGAUGGAUGCCGAAAAAGCUGAUGAAAAGGUGAAGACGACGAUGCAUUCGUGGUUCGCAGCUCAGCCCAAAACAUUUUUUAAUGAGAAAAUACGAAGGUCCUUCGGCAAAUGGACAAAGUGUAUACAGAAAUCGAGUGAUUAUGUCAAAAAAUGAUGUAUGUCUUUUUUGACAAUUGCUUAAAAUAAAUUCUACACCGACAGAGCGGGUAACUUUUUACUCACCCUCGUAAGACACUUAAAUUUCCAAUCUAUUAUGAUGAAUAAAAGAGCUUAUACUAUUAAAUCUAAUUGUAUUUUGUUGAAUGAGAGUACACGUGUAUGUGAUGUACAUUACCUUUAUAUCCCCUUGAACGCUUCAAUAUUGCGCAUAUAUACUAUAUUUUGUACAGCUUCUAUAAAAUUUUGUAUGUUUGUUUAGGCUGUUAAUCUAGAGGCUGGAGUACAAAGAAGUGGCACAAUGAUGUGGGCUGAUGACAUUUAUAAUUAUCAAGGAAUCACCCCUACAUUCGCUCAGAAUUUUAAUGAAACUGUCCCUUGGGAAGGAAGAACUGAUACCUUGAUAUCACGGAUAUUUAUGUUUAGUAACCAGUAAUUCAGAGAUUGGUAUUCAUGGUUACUAUAACGAGGCUGUAGAAACGCACCCUUUCUUCUUUGCAAAUGGUCCUGUAUUUAUGUCUAAGCCGAAACUGGAACCUCUGAAUAAUUUAGAUUUAUUCUUGUUAUUUUCUAAAAUACUUAUCUACAGUAUACCAUAAGGAAUGAUACCGUAUCACACCUAAUCAAGUGCCUUAAGAAACAUCAACAGGAUAUCACAGUAAUCCCUUAUCGACUGAUAUUUGUAGCCACUACAAUAUCUAUGACACUGGUAGUAAUUAUAAGAACAAUAAUGAUAUUCUAUAAGAGGAAAUGAUGAUUAGGAACAAAAACUUACAGGAGAUAUCAUGCGGUGGAUGGAUAAUAUGUAAAAAAUAUUAAGCAGUAUAUGAAUUUUCAUAUUGCGUAGAGAUAACAAAAUGAAUUUUAAAAAAUGUCGACAUGAUUUUGAAAUAUAGUGAAACGUUUAAUUAGUAUCUUAAUAUCUUUAAAUAAUUAUUAUUUUAGAAUCAAUUGUAAUUGUAUCAUACGUACUUUUGAAUUCGUGCAAGAACAUAUGUUAUUUUGAAGUAGUUAUUAUUAGGAAAUUGUUAGACGCGAACAGUAUGCGAAAAGUUAGUAUGCAGUGUAAUAAUUAUCAAUCAAAACACAAGAAUUAAAUUCUUUAGGAAAAAAUUUCCGGAAUUUCUUAUUUACAUGAUUAUAAAGAAAUCCAUAAUAAAAAGGAGCUGCUUUCUAAUACUUCUCUUCCUUGUAAUGCCUACGUUAACAAUAACGAGGUUCGACUUUUUGUUUUUAGAGGGAUACUGGAAAAUUUGAAAGUACAGUACCAUUGGGAAGAAAAUCACGAUAUUGAAAACGAUAUUUGCAAAUUGAACAAUAUUCCAGAUUUAUUCAUAAUUUCAUACUACGCGAAGAAUAGACUUUCAUAGGUAUAUAAAGGAAAUAUUAAGUAUAGGAAAACUCUUUUUCGUUGUAGGUGACAUAUGCUUCACGGUUGAACACAUGUAUUUUUGAACACAUAUAAAUGAAAAAGUACUCUUAUGGAGAAAAAGAAUUGAUACCUUCGAUUGACAUUAGAUAAUGUAUAUAAACUUAUGAACAAUCACUAUCAGUUUGUAUUUUAGGUGCACACGCAGAUUUGUUGGAGUUCUUAUAAAAUGUACUUCCUGUACGAACGUUUUAUUCUUCCAAAUUUUACGAUACUAUGUCUCAUAUAAUAACUAUAUGGAUUAAACGUAAUAUAAAUGAUCCGAAAAUAGACUCGAACGACAUUAAUUGUCUUUCUAUUUAUACCAAUAUCGAAAAUACAAGUAAGGCUGGAGCAAUAGUAUGCAAGAAUGGACUAUUUAUUAUUUUAAACCAAAUCAUAGCAUAUUCAGAAUGCACAGUAUUAUCAUGAAAUGUAAAUGAAUCAGUUGUAAACGAACGAUUUUACUGUAAAAUCGUUGCCUCCUUUUUUUUCAUCUGAAAUAUAGCAACAAUGAGUACAUUCUUUUAAUAUAUAAUAAAACGAGAUAUCUUUAUAAAGUUACAUAUGUAAUCACUGGUAACUGUUAUCUCGUAUGACACCAAAUAUACCGUUAGUAUGGAAUGAUAUUUUUAUGAAGAUAUACUUUAAUGAUAGGUUUUAUGAAUGAAACGUUAUAUAAGAAAAAUUAUCUCUUGUUAUUCUAUGAAGUGUAGUAGCUAAUGAAGAUUAAUUUUACGAAGUAUUAGAGCAAAAGAGAAUUAAAAAAUUAAAAAGAUCUAAAUAAGA